GAAAUUACGAGUGAAUUUGUUUUGCCCUAAUGUCAUCGCUCUUGCCCUAAUCUCUCAUCAGUCGAGCAAAGAGACGACACAGCACCAAGAGGCGACAUCGAAGCAAAGAGGCGACGGCGACCCAGCCAUCCCUUCCGGCGACGGCGACGCAAGGAGUUCCGAGAUCAGCAAGCAUUAUUUUCGAUUCGUCCCCUGCACUGCAUAUCAGCCAUACCUAGCAACUGGUCAGAAUCUCUUCAUCUCUAUUUUUUUUGAUUUUUUUUCUUGUUUCUUCUUUCCUCUUCAGAGAGGUAUAAUCUGAUGUAGAACCAAAAAAAAAUUAGAGAGGUAUAGAACCAAAUCAUAUUUAGAACAAAAAAAAAAAAAAAAAAA